rnacentral:lncRNA from 1 species
GAAUUAAAAUUUAUCACUUUCUUGCACAGAAGCUGCUAAAGCUCUAACGAUGCCAUUGAGAUGAGCGUGCUCGUGGGAGCCGAGCGGAGGAGGUUACCUGAGCAGCUCUCGGAGACAGGACGGGCUCCGGAGCUGCAGAUAAUGGGAGCUCUCAGGGAUGCAGGUGAUGCCAGCAGAGCAGGCCUGUCAUAAUCCGUACCGAGACUUGGAACAGGGGAGUGCUGUUCUGGGGGGAAAGAGGAGAGAGAUUAACCUGAACAGAAGUGCAGUGCCAUCUAUCUUCAAGUUCCUACAAACAGCGAAGAGAAACCUGAUGGUCUGCUUGGGGGAUGAAAGAGCAGGGGACUCUGCCAGUGAGGAUGGGGAGCAGCCAUUUCUCCUUCAAGCUAGAAGAAAAGGCACUUGGGAAGUCUGCUAA